rnacentral:rRNA from 1 species
AAAGAUUAAGCCAUGCAUGUCUAAGUAUAAGCAAUUAUACAGCGAAACUGCGAAUGGCUCAUUAUAUAAGUUAUCGUUUAUUUGAUAGUACCUUACUACUUGGAUAACCGUGGUAAUUCUAGAGCUAAUACAUGCUAAAAAUCCCGACUUCGGAAGGGAUGUAUUUAUUAGAUUAAAAACCAAUGCCCUCUGGGCUCUUUGGUGAUUCAUGAUAACUUCUCGAAUCGCACGGCCUUGCGCCGGCGA